GGACGAACGCUGGCGGCGUGCUUAACACAUGCAAGUCGAGCGGUAAGGCCCUUUCGGGGGUACACGAGCGGCGAACGGGUGAGUAACACGUGGGUGACCUGCCUUUAGCUCUGGGAUAAGCCUGGGAAACUGGGUCUAAUACCGGAUACGACUCCGCGGUGCAUGCUGUGGGGUGGAAAGCCUUGUGCGGCUGGAGAUGGGCCCGCGGCCUAUCAGCUUGUUGGUGGGGUGAUGGCCUACCAAGGCGACGACGGGUAGCCGGCCUGAGAGGGCGUCCGGCCACACUGGGACUGAGACACGGCCCAGACUCCUACGGGAGGCAGCAGUGGGGAAUAUUGCGCAAUGGGCGGAAGCCUGACGCAGCGACGCCGCGUGGGGA
rnacentral:rRNA from 1 species